GGCGGCGUGGCUAAGACAUGCAAGUCGAACGGACCAUUAAUUUAUUAAUGGUUAGUGGCGAAAGGGUGAGUAAUGAAUAGGUAACGUACCCCGUGCUUCGGGAUAGCGUCUCCCGGCUUCGGUCGGGAUUCCGAAAGGGGCGGUAAUACCGGAUAAUACCAUAUAUCGUCUGGUAUAUGGUCAAAGAUUUAUCGGCGCGGGAGCGGCCUAUUUCCUAUCAGCUUGUUGGUGAGGUAAAAGCUCACCAAGGCGACGACGGGUAGCGGGACUGAGAGGUUGGCCCGCCACAUCGGGACUGAGACACUGCCCGGACCUCCACGGAGGGCUGCAGUAACGAAUAUUGCGCAAUGGGCGAAAGCCUGACGCAGCGACGCCGCGUGCGGGAGGAAGUCCCUCGGGAUGUAAACCGCUGUCAGGGGUAAGAAAGUUCCGACACGUCGGAAUUGAUCUAACCCAGAGGAAGUCACGGCUAACUUCGUGCCAGCAGCCGCGGUAAGACGAAGGUGGCUAGCGUUGUUCGGUGUCACUGGGCUUAAAGCGUGUGUAGGCGGAAAGGUAAGCGUCUUGUGAAAUCCCUCGGCUUAACCGGGGAAUUGCAGGGCGAACUCCCUUUCUUGAGGCAAGCAGGGGUGCAUGGAACUCUUGGUGGAGCGGUGGAAUGCGUAGAUAUCAAGAGGAACGCCGGUGGUGAAGACGGUGCACUGGGCUUGUCCUGACGCUGAGACACGAAAGCGUGGGUAGCGAACGGGAUUAGAUACCCCGGUAGUCCACGCCGUAAACGACGUCUACUAGGUUGUGGAGGUUCUGGCACCUGCACGGCCGAAGCAAAAGUGUUAAGUAGACCGCCUGGGGAGUACGUCGCCAGGCUAACUCAAAGGAAUUGACGGGGGUCACACAAGCGGUGGAGCAUGUGGAUUAAUUC
rnacentral:rRNA from 1 species